rnacentral:misc_RNA from 1 species
ACACAAACACAGAGGAAGAUAUAAAACUGGCGGGCGGGCAUUGUUAUAUUUAAUUUAUGUUUUGAACUAAAAAAAAACUAUUUGAUGAGCACUUCAAGAAAUAAAAUCAAAUAUGUUUUCGCCUAAAAAAUGUUUAGAUGCUCCGAAUGAUUAUGAAUUUCCAUUUACUCCUUACGAAAUACAGAAGGAGCUAAUGGAAGCCGUUUACGAUACUUUGACCCAAAAGUCAAUUGGUAUAUUUGAGAGUCCAACAGGAACAGGAAAAUCAUUGACUUUAACGUGUUCUGUUUUAAAAUGGAUUGAAGAUCGUGAGAAUUUGGAGCGAAAAGAUUUGGCAGAACGUAUUUCUAGCCUAGACCUAGAAGUUAAACGUAUUGGGAGUACUGUUGAUGUGGUGGAAGAUUGGAUAACUGCCAGCUAUGAAGCUACGGAGAAAAAGAAACAACUUGCGAUCCACCGCCGUUUCCAAAAAAUGUUGCAGUUACAUCAUGACCGAUUGAAAGAAAUGUAUGAGCAUCAAAUAGAGUUUCAAAAAGAACGCCAGAAUAAUAAUUCGAAAAAAAUGGUACUAGUAAGUGAUUUAAACCAAGAGGAUGAGCUGACUGAUAUCGUUGAUUGGGAUGAGCACUCUGCGAAUUUUGAUAGGCAAGACCAAGAUGUCCACGAUGAAGAAGAAAAAUAUCGUCCGAUUCAGGUAUUUUUCUGCAGUCGUACUCAUUCUCAGCUAGCGCAAGUCGUAAGAGAAGUAAAACGCACGCCCUACGGCCGCCGAAUACGAUGUGUGUCCUUAGCAUCUCGACAGCAAUUAUGUAUAAAUCCGCAAGUGAAAAAAUUGCCUAACGUAAGUGUCAUUAACGAAAAGUGCUUAGAUAUGGCUCCAAAAAAUAAAGAAGGCAAAGAGAAUGUAGGGACCAAAUGUUGUAAAUAUCGCAAAGUUAAUUUGAUGCAGAAUCUAAGCGAAACUGCUCUGUUUAAUAUAAUGGACAUCGAGGAGUUGGUGACGGAAGGUGAAUCAGUAAAUGCGUGUCCAUAUUACGCGGCAAGAGAAGCUGCGAAGUCAGCACAACUUAUAAUGCUCACAUAUCAAAUGCUUCUGCAUCGGCAGACGCGUCUCCAGGCAGGCAUCGACUUGCGAGGUGCCAUUGUGAUUAUAGACGAGGCACACAAUUUGCUAGAUACAAUUGCUCAUUUGCAUAGCUGCGAGUUGACUUUGCAGCAACUAUUAUUAGUACAACAACAACUUACUAAAUAUAAAAUGCGGUACUUAAAACGGUUCAGUGCAGUCAGUUUACUUAAAAUCAACCAACUGAUAUUCAUUGUAAAACGACUUGUAAAAAUACUACAAACUGACACACCUGUCUCUGCAGGAAAAAUGUCACCAAUUUCUAGAGUUCUUCGCACAUACGAACUUACUGCAGAAGCUGAAUUUUAUAACAUUGACUUAUUUACUUUGCUACAGUUUUGUGAGAAAUCCCGACUGGCCCAAAAAUUGCAAGGGUUUUCCGAAAAGCCAGAUUUUUCAAAAGCAUCAGUAGAUGAACAGUUGGAAAGUUCAGCUACAAAACAGCUCCUUAAACAAAUUGAGACUUUGCAAAAAAAUAAUCUUAAGAAUAAAACUGCCUUUGAGAAAAUAGAUGUUGUAAAUAAAGUAAAUAAUAAAAGAAGUUUCAAUACCGUAACACCAAUUAGCGCACCAUUCCGCGCUCUCCUCACGUUUAUUCAAUCAUUAACUGAAAAAGCGGAGGAUGGACGUGUUGUUUUAAGGGUCGAUGGAACUGGUGUUGUCGGCAACAGUACGCUUAAGUACAUUUUAUUAAAUCCUGGUGCUCACUUCGCCGAUGUUAUCCAAGAUGCUCGCUCUAUAAUUGUGGCUGGAGGCACAAUGCAACCGACCAGAGAACUGACCGAGCAAUUAUUUAGUGCAUGUCCCAAUCGAGUUCGGGAGCAUUUUUAUGAUCACGUAGUGUCAUCCGAUGCAGUACUACCUCUAAUAGUUGCACAAGGGACAACAGGUCGCCGACUUUGUUUCAAUUAUACUGAGCGCAGUACUAAAGAUAUGCUUACCGAAUGUGGCAUGAUUAUUCAAAAUGUUUGCAAUGUAAUACCAGCAGGAAUUGUCUGCUUUUUUCCUUCGUACGAAUAUUUAGACCUAAUAUAUAAUUAUUUGCAAAAGUGCGGCAUAUUGGAGAGAAUAGCGACGAAAAAACGUGUAUUUUCCGAGACUCGUGCAGCUGAGGCGACAGGCUCGUCGGUCGAGAAGCUUUUAAAUGACUACAGUGCGGCGAUAAAAGCGCAAGGUGGUGGUGGAGCGCUUCUUUUCAGCGUUGUCGGAGGAAAAUUGAGUGAGGGCCUUAACUUUGCGGAUGAUCUGGGAAGGUGUGUUAUUGUCGUGGGCAUGCCUUAUCCAAAUCGUCAAUCUGUUGAGUUACAGGAGCGUAUGCGGUAUUUAGAUGAGACACUGGGCCCUGGUAACGGCAAUGAAUAUUAUGAGAAUCUUUGCUUGAAAGCGGUUAAUCAAUGCAUCGGAAGGUCUGUGCGGCAUAUCAACGAUUACGCUUGCGUUUUGCUUUUGGACGAGCGUUAUUGCAGGGCUGAUAUUCAAGCGAAGUUGCCACAGUGGAUAACACGUAGCUUGCAGAUACCGAAAACUUUUGGCGCAGUGCAAGCGGCAAUGGCAAGAUUCUUUAAAAAUAUCAAAUCUAAAAAAUUGGAAACGGUAUAAUAUUAGAUAUAAUAACCUUUAUCAGUAUUUCAGUCUUAAUAUUACAUCUAAAAACUGUUGAAAAGUAUUAGUAUUUAUAAAUCUUCGUAAUAAGUAAUAAUUGGAUGUGAAUAACGCUUUUGUAUUUUAAGUUAUUUUUGUAUUUUCUUCGGUAAUUUUAUAUUGUUUUUUGUCUUUAUUCUGUCUUAAAAUCAUUGAACAUUUUAAAGGAGAGAAAUUUAACGGUAUUCUUUGUCGGUUCAUUUGUACAUGGAAGUAAAAAAAUACUAUGUGUUUUUUAUAUUGGAUUAUAAUAUAUGUAUGUCAAAGUAUUA